rnacentral:rRNA from 1 species
ACGGAGGGUCCGAGCGUUAUCCGGAUUUAUUGGGUUUAAAGGGUGCGUAGGCGGUUUUAUAAGUCAGCGGUGAAAUUUUCCGGCUCAACCGGGAUACUGCCGUUGAUACUGUAAGGCUAGGAUAUGGUUGCUGUGGGAGGUAUGUGUGGGGUAGGAGUGAAAUACUGUAAUUGUUGGGGGAAUAGCGGUUGCGAAGGCAGCUCACAAAGACGUUGCCGACACUGAGGAACGAAAGUGUGGGGAGCAAACAG